rnacentral:misc_RNA from 1 species
GGAUAGAGCAUUAUUAUCCACUGGAACUGAUCCUGCUACUAUAAAUCCAAAUCUAUUGCUUGAUGAGAUGUAUAUUGGAAGGUUAUGCAGACUGGCAAACAAUCUUGCAUUAGUUGGGCACACUUUUCUGGAAGACAAAACUACUGCUGCUAUUGGUCUUGAUAAAGUUGAUGAUCUUGUGGAUUUCUGGAACAUCACAGAAAUUGG